rnacentral:lncRNA from 1 species
AUGACAGUCCAUAUGGAACAGUUCGACCUGCUGGUUCAGCAGGUCAGGGGCCUCACCGAAGUGGUGCAGGCCAUGUAGUAGCAGCUGCAGGCAUCUGUGCAGCUGGAAAGAGCAUCAUCAGAGUUCCAAAAUCUAGCGAUCGGGCGGUCACUUGGGCCAGUCGCCCUGUAUCCCCCGAAAAGGGGAAGCAGAGGGUGGAGAGCCCUUUGUCUGAUCGUGAUUCCACCCCCGGAGGAUCCCUACCUCCAUUCUGCCAGAAGACCCUCGAGAUUCAUGAUUGAGAGGAUCUCUUGGAUCAAAGGAUCCAAGAGAUGAACCAGCAGAUUGAAGAGCUCCGCCAUGCUCCCCCUACUUAUGGUGAGGAUAUCUGUACUGACCCUCUUUUUUCUCAAAGGAUAAUGCAGGAACCGAUCCUGUCGAACUUCAAGCUCCCCCAAUUUGAGAGCUACGACGGG